UGUUUUCAAACCAGUUUUAGAAUCAAAGAGACAAUGUUUUGGGAAAUAAAACUCUAACCUUCCUCUUCCCCCUGUGCUAUCUCUUCUCUGUUUGUAUCCAAGCCCAAGAAGCACCCUGGCCUUUCCUGCUUCAUUCUUUUUCCUGGACGAUGGACAAGGGCGUUGCCCUGUUUUUCUUCUCCACCAGUACACAGGCACAACAUGAUCUCCACCUUUUCCCUGACGCUAUUUCCUCCACUCAUUCAGCAUCCCACCUGACCCCUCUCCCUUUCUCAACCAAACCCUAGCCUCCCUACGCCGCCGCCUCCCGUCUUGAUUUCCUUCUUCACCGAGAGACUCGAGGGAAGUUUUCAGUUUCGUCAGUAACACCAAGAAAACCUGCCGGAGAUCGCUGUUCUUAUCGUCGUUGUUGGCCGCCGUUCGCUGCCGGACCAUGGGGAUGGAGUUCCCGUGGCCUCUGCUACCUCCUCGCUGAGUUACCGGAGCUGGGAGCGCUCAAUUCGCCUGCAUCGUCCUCGACUUCACGGAACCAGAGCCGGCGCUUUUUCAUCGCCUUCAUCCUCGUCUCGCUCUUCGUCGCUUUUCGAUCUUCCCCGUCCUCGACCACCACCUCUUUAACGCGCCAGCACCAGCUGCUCUCCGCACGCGCGCCCGGCGUCCCAUCGAGCAUCAGCACACAAGCAGCAUAUCGACAGUAGUAAGCCUCAUCACAAUGACCAGCAGUGCGGUCACUUUGCUUCUCCCCGGAUAGGAUCACGAAGUGGUGAUGUGAGAUACUGACGAGUUCUCCGACAAGUUCUUCUGCAGCUUUUCACAGGCGAGCCCACCCCUUCACCUAUUUUACAUUUACAUGCUCUUUUGAUCUAUUGCUAUCCCUAUGUUGCGAUUCUGUUGAGUCACGUGUCCUAUCCACCUGUUACCUAUAUGUCCGAGUUACACCUCCUCGCCCUACCUAUUGUUUGUUGUUUGCCAGCUUUGCGAGUCGUAGGCGAGUUUAGGGUUUUGUUGAUAUCUCGAAAUGUUCGGGAUAUCUUGUUGGGAGGUUAUCACAUGCUAUAUCUUUUGUUGGAGAUAAUCACACUUUACUUUAUUGUUAACAACUAAAAUUGUAAGCAGAGGCAUCCGUGAGCCCCUUUGCGAAAGCAUCGGAACUUUGACUCGCUAAUGUCCCCUAGGACCCGAGUUCUUGUUAUCCGUUCCGAGAUUGAGCGCUCUACCCGUACGUGGGGGAAUGGGACCCCCAUCACCCACUACCUUUCCUCGAGUCUGUUUAUUGGGAGCCACAACCUUGGUUUUAUUUGCUCAUAUGCACGAUGCACGAUUUACUUCUGUUGCCUUCGGGUGUUUAUAUUAUGUCCUGUACUCAUCCCGUGGAACGAUUAGCGACAGCAGGUUGUUCACACUUAGCUUAGCCGUUGGCACAAACCUCUGGGUCCGUAUCGGAGUACGGCCGAACUUCGUCACGGGUAGCUUAGUGGGGUGGCUCCCCUUAAACUUUCUCUUGCAUUGGGAACGGUCUUGUUGUGAGACUCCACCUGUAGUAAGUGGGUUCGAGCAUGCGUAUGGUCACAUUUGGGCAACCCCUGCAGGGUGUACAUCUUAUCGAUAAGCCGUGUCCGCGGUUAUGGACGACUUGGAAUUGUAUGGCUUGAUCAUAGAACAACUUACACCUUUAUGUUGUUGAUAAUAAUCUGCUAAUAACUUGAUUAGUAAUAUAGCAUUACUACAACCGAUACCUAAUAAAACUUGUCCACCGUUGAGUGCCUCUUACAUUGCCUCUUCGCAAUUGUUGAAGGGGAUACGUGUAAUCGGCUGGGUUAUGUUUGUGUAGUAUUUAUCUGUUACCUUGUGCGCUCUCUUAUCUUCUCUGAGUAGACGGAUGUUGUAGCUUGUCUCUAUUGGAUCGUAGCUUUGCUGCCGCUAAACUCCACAUAUAGCCGGGUGGAGUUUAUACCGCCCACCAGCGAGCAUAGCUGGUCUUGUCUCGCAAGUACGUGCCAAUGGUACUUACCCUCGCCUUCCUUUCUUUUUGUCUCCUCCCCCUUUUGUCGGCAACCGAUGGCCCGACUUUGACAGGUACGAGAUGACGACGUUAGCAAGGUUACCCUUCCGGCUUGGCACGGGCAGGGGUUAUGGACGCCGCUGGUUAUCUUCAGGACUCUUAGUCCAAUUUGUAUCUUGUCCGCACUCGGACGUAUUUGAUCUUCUGUAUGAUUUGGAUCUUUGUAUUGUGUAUUUGUAUCUUGACUCGUUGGAGUCGUUGUUGUAAUAUAUGUUUCUUGUGGGCUCUA